UUGGCUAUAGAUGAAUCUUGGAAAUGUAAAAACCAGAGUAAAAGUUAUUAAGCUAAUAUUAAUACAUUAUUGUACUUUGUUAUUAAUACUCUAUCAGUCCUGUGGCUGAGUAAUGAUCUGUCCUCACCUGUCCGUCUUCUGUCCUCUCAGGUGAGACACAAAGUUCGGCCCCACUUCCUGCAUUCUGCGGCCCACAAACUGUUCUAUGAUGUCAUCACGUGGGCAGCCACUCAGAUCGCCAUCUGCUACACGGUGGUGCCUUUUGUCCUGCUGUCUGUGGGCCCGUCCAUAAAGUUUUACAGAUCGUGGUACUUCAGCCUCCACAUCAUGUGCAUCCUCCUGGCUGUAGCGCUGCCGGUCAAACCCAGACAUCUGCGCCUCAAAGAGCAGCAGAAAAGCUGCUCCCAGGAUGCAGGCCUGAAGCCCCUGGAGGCUGCAGAGACCCACAGUCACAAAGAGAAGGCCUCCUGAGGCCGGGGCCGGAAGCAUCUUGUAAAUUUCCAUGGACUUGUGUGGGAGGAUGUGAAGCCGGAUGGACCGAGUGAUGCUCCUGCUGGACUAGGUACAGAAAAAAGGCCAAACCUGAUUAAUUUGGAUUCAGUGGGGGAUAAAAGUGAAAGCAGGCUCUGGGUUUCUUUGUUUUUCUUAUAGGAAUCUUGACUGCCAGAAAUGACAGCGAACAGACUCAGAAAAACCUGCCAUGUUUAAGAAUAUAAAUACCUAAUGUGAGUUUACAUGGGAGAGCUGCGUGUGAUCAGUGCAAACUGCCUGAACUACCAUGAUUUUAAACCAACUCCCUUUUCCUACUUGUCAGAAACUUGUGGAUUAAGGAGGAAAUAUAUGAUGAUAUGUAAAGAAACAGAGGUGAAAGGGUGGAAUACACAAUUUUAUGACAACAGGGGUUGUGUGAAUAGAAGUCAGACUGAUUAAAGGAAAGUUUUAAAUAUUUUACAGAAGUUAGUUUUGGAAAAAGUGCCAAUGUUUGUUCACUCAGUCACCUUAUUUGUUCUAAAAAAAAAAAGAAAAAAGAAAAGUCUUGAUGUGUUUACAUGUGUAACUUUGGUUUAAAGUUCUUACUGGUGUUUCAUUCCAAAAAAACAAAGAUGUGGUUUGAUAAGCAAAAGAUAAAAACCUUCAGAAAUGAGCAGAAAAGGAUUUUCCUUUCAAGUUUGAUUAUUUUUUACAUAUUUUCCUUUCCAGUUGGGUUUGGCCUGGUAGCUCAGGAUGGUAAUAUUUUAUUUCUUUACAGCUUGUCGCAUCAUUCAGACUCCGUCUCAUUACGUCAUUUAGCUCAGACACUGGGGAGAAAAAGCUGCUUGGUCUUGCAGCUAAUUAUUCUGUCCUCACCUGUCCGUCUUCUGUCCUCUCAGGUGAGACACAAAGUUCAACCCCACUUCCUGCAUCGUGCAGGAAGUGUCUGUAAAAGACAUAUUGUGAGUGGCAUUUUGAAAGAUUUUACAGCGACCCUUUUGAACAGCACAUAUAUUUCUGGAGAAACAAAAUAGAUACAGUUCGAUUGUUAUGACAAAAACUAAAUAAUUAAGUGGUUUGUCAUGUUUUAAGAGGUAAAUUAAUGUAGAUGUAAGUGCAUUUUGUGUUUCUUAGGGGUUAAGCUUAUUCUGAUUUAUAGAUAUUUUUGACAGUAAUUCUAAAUGAGUGUUUCAUUGUGUGCAAAACAAUUUAAUUUGUAAUUUUGCUGAAAUAAAUUUCAACAAUUUUAUUUCAAACUAAUAUGUUAGUUGUAACAUAUUAGAACUAUGUUUGCACACAUAGUUCUAAUGAUUAUCAUGGAGACUGUGCCACUCACAAUAUGGAGGACGUAUCGUCUGGUAAGGGAAGCCAACAUGGCGGUUACCCUUCUAUGUCUGUUGGUCAAGAAAUACUGAAGAAAAGUUUAGAAAUGUUGAUUUUGUUUUGUUUUCAUCGCAACCUGACUGAAUUAGAAUAACAUUAGAAAAGUUUUUGUUGACAACAAUACAAUCAGAUUUUUGUAUAAAACAAGGAUUUUGCACUGUGGUGAGAUUUUAGGUUUUUUGGCACCAACGUAUGAUAGAAUAUGGCCUUUAAAUAAAAAACGGAAAAUAUUUUGUUCCAGUAUUGGUUCAGUUUUAAAUCUGAAUUGCAGAAAAUAUAUCAUUUUUGACAGAACUUUUAAAUCCAAGUGCAAAGAUGCUACAGCUAGGUGGGUUUUGCUAACUGCAUACAUUUCCACCUGCAAAACAGAAGAUAUGAGAAAUGAAAUAGUAUUUGACCAUACAGUAAGUUUGAUGAGACAAAAGUGACAUAAAACAGUAUUAUAGCAGUUGAUUUACAAUAAUCUCACACUAGAAGUAGCUAUAAAAAGUUUGUAGCUUUAAAUAAAUUAGGUUUUCCGUCAAGGCUACUGCAAUGUUUCACUUCCUGAAUGCCCAUUUUCUACAUUUGUUUAAGUUUAGUGUUGGCUGUGAGUUAUGCUGUAGCCAUGAUUUUUAUGGGUUUCUCUCUGUUCCAUCAAUGUUUUCUUUGGGAGAUAAAACAACACAGCUUAAGGAAAGUUUACCUAGCCUUCAUUGUUUUGUUCAAUUAAAAGAAAAUCAGUAUUGAACUGUUUGUUAAUGUUAGCUAGUGGUUUAAUUUAGCUAUAAUUGCUCAUAUUUUGAGUUAUUUACCAAACUGAUCCAUGUGUAAAUUUAAUCACCAAUAUUUUUGUUGUUUAAUUUAUUUUAACACUGAGUGUAGCUGAAAAAUUGUGCUGGAAGAGCUACUUUGUGUUUACUUUUGAGCUUCAAGCUUGCUAAUUGUUAGCUAACCGUACAUCAAGGAAGCUAGCUAAAACUGUGUUCCAAAUAAAAACCAACCAAUAUUUGUCCUGUACAUCCUCACCUUAAAAUUUGAUAAAAAAUAAACUGUAAUAAACUCAUCUCUCAUUAAAUGUUCUUGAGUUGAGUUGGUUAUAGCUGUUAGUUUGGCUUUCAAGGACAAAAAUUAGCUGGUUUUCUAACUUCAAACUUUCAAGACAACUGAAGCAUAGCAGGAAGACAUUUAUGUAAAGUUGCUGUAAAUGUUCUCUUCCGUCAAACUUCUGGUUUUAGUUUAUCUAAACAAUUUAAUCUCAUUUUCCGUCCAAACUACUCUGAGUAUUAAACAGUCAGCAGUUCUGCCGAUCAGUAAAAAUCAGUGUUUUCUUUGCCUCUUUUCUUCUAAGACACAGAAAAAUCAGAAUCUUUCUCUGUAUCUUUCUGUUUUUGUAUUUGUUCUACAAUUGUAUUCCUAGUUUUAGGUUUCUGCCAUGACACCUGGUUGAAAAGAUGUGACUGCUAAUGAACAUGUUAAUGUAAAACAGUGAUUAAAAACCAGCCACCUAUCUUUGUAGUUUUGA